UGAAAUAGUCAUUUGUGUCAUUCCAGCGUUGGUUAAAACACUUGUUGUUGUUGUUUUUUGUGAUAGGCCAGCAAAUGAGCACUACCUACUAAUUUAGUAUAGCGAUAUUACCAAUGGAUUAACGAGCUUUUUGGAAGAAUGGAUGGGUUCAACCUAAUUAACCUAAAACGUGAGACAAAAUUUGGCAAGGUCAUAUAUGUUAUGCCGUUCAUGGCAGUGACUUUUUCAAACUGCGAAGUUUCCAUCAUAAACUCUAUAAAACGAAUACUCAAUUCAAUAUUAUAUAUGAUGCUUACAGGUUUUGGUCAAUCAUAUUUCAGCAUAGUUUUUAUCAGAGAUCAGAGCGAAGGCAAACCCGUCGCUUUUCAAAAAAAUCGAAACCGAAACUCAUAAAAGUGCUUUAAUUUUGAUGAUAGUGAAAUAGAAAACAUACUUCGUUUCCAUAAUUCCAUAGUGAAAUAACCUGUGGUGACGCACUGUGUUGACCUAACUUUAUGGGUCUCAUACUUUUGACUAUAAGUCGUGAGUAGAGCUUGAACGUUAUUUGUUUCAACCAUGAAAUUUUUGUUUGGAUCGCCGUCUCGCACUAUCUCGUAAUUGCAUUUGAAACUCACUCACGACUAAGGUGAAUCACACGUAACACGACAAAUUCCUGUCCCUGCCAUGGGGGCUAUAUAUAGUUAGGGAUCGUGCGGGGCAAUGUGACAGAUUGGUUCUUCCAUUGAAGGACAAAAUCUCGAAAUAUUUCGUUGAGGAUUUCUUUAAAGACAAUGUAAAAUUUUCUUUUAAUGCCACAUUAAUAAAGGUUUUCAAUGGUCGCAAUUGCCUCUAAAGGCAAAUAUCAUGAUUAAACCAAACACUAAUAAACUUUUCUCUAAAGACGCAAUUUCCAAGAAAUUUGUAAAAGGUUUCUAAUUAAAAAUCAAAAUAAACUCUAUAAAAAAAUCAUAAAUAAUAUGUAUAAUAUUAUUGAUCAACUAAAAGCCCAAUUAGCAACUAGACAAAUUCAAAAUCUACUACAAAUAAAAAUAGUGUAAAUCAAAUCAUAAACAUAGUUUUGCUAAUAAAGUAA